CCUACGUGUGGCUGCAGUGAGGAAUAUUGGUCAAUGUGCGAGAGCCUGAACCAGCCCAGUCGCGUGAAGGAUGACGGCCCUACGGGUUGUAAACUUCUUUUGUAAGGGAGCAAUUGGGUCCACGCGUGGGCUUAGCGAGAGUACCUGAAUACAAAGCAUAGGCUAACUCCGUGCCAGCCGCCGCGGUCAUACGGGGGAUGCGAGCGAUAUUCGGAUUUAUUGGGUUUACAGGGUGCGUAGGCGGAACAUAAAGUCAGAGGUAAAAAUUCGGGGGUCAACCCCGUCGUGCCGGUGAAACUGAUGUUCUUGAGUGGGCGAGAAGUAUGCGGAAUGCGUGGUGUAGCGGUGAAAUGCAUAGAUAUCACGCAGAACUCCGAUUGCGAAGGCAGCAUACCGGCGCCCAACUGACGCUGAAGCACGAAAGCGUGGGUAUCGAACAGGAUUAGAUACCCUAGUAGUC
rnacentral:rRNA from 1 species